rnacentral:rRNA from 1 species
CGGCGGACGGGUGAGUAACACGUGGAUAACCUACCUAUAAGACUGGGAUAACUUCGGGAAACCGGAGCUAAUACCGGAUAAUAUAUUGAACCGCAUGGUUCAAUAGUGAAAGACGGUUUUGCUGUCACUUAUAGAUGGAUCCGCGCCGCAUUAGCUAGUUGGUAAGGUAACGGCUUACCAAGGCAACGAUGCGUAGCCGACCUGAGAGGGUGAUCGGCCACACUGGAACUGAGACACGGUCCAGACUCCUACGGGAGGCAGCAGA